rnacentral:rRNA from 1 species
UACGGGGGGUGCGAGCGUUAUUCGGAAUUAUUGGGCGUAAAGGGCGCGCAGGCGGUUGAAUAAGUCAGGUGUGUAAGCCCUUGGCUUAACCAAGGAAGUGCAUUUGAUACUAUUUGACUUGAGUAUGGGAGAGAGAAGUGGAAUUCCUUGUGUAGAGGUGAAAUUCGUAGAUAUCAGGAGGAACACCGGUGGCGAAAGCGACUUCCUGGACCAAUACUGACGCUGAGGCGCGAAGGCGUGGGGAGCAAACAGG